GACAGAGGGUGCAAACGUUGUUCGGAAUUAUUGGGCGUAAAGCGCGCGCAGGCGGUCCUUUAAGUCUGAUGUGAAAGCCCACGGCUCAACCGUGGAGGGUCAUUGGAAACUGGGGGACUUGAGUGCAGAAGAGGAGAGUGGAAUUCCACGUGUAGCGGUGAAAUGCGUAGAGAUGUGGAGGAACACCAGUGGCGAAGGCGACUCUCUGGUCUGUAACUGACGCUGAGGCGCGAAAGCGUGGGGAGCAAACAGG
rnacentral:rRNA from 1 species